ACACGACUCUCGGCAACGGAUAUCUAGGCUCUCGCAUCGAUGAAGAACGUAGCAAACUGCGAUACUUGGUGUGAAUUGCAGAAUCCCGUGAACCAUCGAGUCUUUGAACGCAAGUUGCGCCCGAAGCCAUUAGGCCUAGGGCACGUCUGCCUGGGCGUCACGC
rnacentral:rRNA from 1 species